AGUCAAUAGAUACCCAGGUAGUCCACGCCGUAAACGAUGAGUACUAGGUGUAGGAGGUAUCGACUCCUUCUGUGCCGCAGUUAACACAAUAAGUACUCCGCCUGGGAAGUACGGUCGCAAGAUUAAAACUCAAAGGAAUUGACGGGGGCCCGCACAAGCAGCGGAGCAUGUGGUUUAAUUCGAAGCAACGCGAAGAACCUUACCUAGACUUGACAUCUCCUGAAUAGUGUAGAGAUACAUGAAGCCCUUCGGGGUCGAGGAAGACAGGUGGUGCAUGGUUGUCGUCAGCUCGUGUCGUGAGAUGUUGGGUUAAGUCCCGCAACGAGCGCAACCCUUACUUACUAGUUGCUACCAUUAAGUUGUAGCACUCUAGUGAGACUGCCCGGGUUAACCC
rnacentral:rRNA from 1 species